rnacentral:rRNA from 1 species
UACGGAGGAUCCGAGCGUUGUCCGGAUUUAUUGGGUUUAAAGGGUGCGUAGGCGGACUAAUAAGUCAGGGGUGAAAGCCGGUAGCUUAACUAUCGAAUAGCCUUUGAAACUGCUAGUCUUGAAUACUGUUGAGGUAGGCGGAAUGUAUCAUGUAGCGGUGAAAUGCAUAGAUAUGAUACAGAACACCGAUUGCGAAGGCAGCUUACUAAGCAGUGAUUGACGCUGAGGCACGAAAGCGUGGGGAUCAAACAGG